rnacentral:miRNA from 12 species
UUUAGAGAUAUAAUAUUGUGUGUGUGUGUGUGUGUGUGUGUGUGUGUGUGUAUAUACACAUAUCUAUACAGAUACGUGUGUUUGUGUAGAUAUAUA